ACAGGGCGAGCCUCCGAGUCACCACAGCAGGAACAGCAACGGCACAACGCUUCCCUCCGCCACCUCCAUAGAGAGCCGGCUCGCUGCCGCGUCUAAGGCGCACCGAGCCAGCCCCACUAACUUUAUUACCGUUCACGCAACCUACCCCACCUUCCUCUACCGUCCUCCAAUCGCCGCUCAGGGCUCCGCCCGCUUUGCCAAUCACAGCCGAGAAAGGGGGUGGCCUUAACGCCCAAGUGGGCAGAGGAGGGAGGAAGUUUGGUUGAACUGUACCAUCGCCGCAGUGCAGCAUCUGAAUUCCUGAAAGCCGUUACGCCACGUUGUUGGCGAUGGGGUGUAGAAAGGAAGGGAGACUUGCGCAAGUGGCGUAGCCUCUUAAUGGCGGCAGCUUGGAUGCGUCUUGCUCUCACUCUUUAGGUCCUGUGCUUCAGCCUUCAGAGAGCUGCACUUCUAGAGGCCUAGAGUUUUUUAUGACUCAUAAUUCAGAUGACUGGGAGAAAGUGAUCCAGGUAGUAACUCUUGAACCAUAUACACAGCAAGUCCAAACAAAUGAUACUGCAGAACUUGGACUUCCCAGAGCCAACCUCGUUCCUAAUGCUUUCAACACACUGUGCCACAAUGUCCGAUGGGUUAUAUAAGACAUAAAGGGUGCUGUCAUGCAGGAGUUAUGUUGCAUCUCAUCUGGAGUGAAGGCUGUUCAAGUCAUAUUACUGCAAGAGCUUGGACCUUGGAUGUGAAUCUGCAAGAACAGAACUGUCUGGAUAUCAGUCAAAAUCAAUGGAAUCCAGUUUGAAAGACGGAGUCAAUAGGCACAGAGAAAGCAGCAAAGUCAAGAUUUAAGCCAAUAUUAAACCCAGUUGAUAUUGAACAAAACCUUC